AUGUUGGAUUUUCUGCUUCAACUGGUUUGCUUGCUAGUUCACAUUAUAUAUUUGGUUGGAGUUUCAAAAUGAAUGGAAAAGCUCAAUCUUUGGAUCUUGAUUUAUUGCCUAAUUUACCUGGACCUAAGAAGGAUCAAACAACCUUAAUUGUAGCGACGUCAUUAUCUGCUGUCGUCUUUCUUGCAUUUGGUGUUGUUUUGGCCUUGUACAUCAAAUCAAACAACCUUAAUUGCAGCGACGUCUUUAUCUGCUGUCGUCUUUCUUGCAUUUGGUGUUAUUUUGGCGUUUUACAUCAUUUGGAAAAUCAAGAACAUAGAUGUGAUUGAGCCGUGGGAACUUGAAAUAGGUCCACAUAGGUUUG
rnacentral:lncRNA from 1 species